rnacentral:lncRNA from 1 species
GGAUCUUAGCUUUUCAUUAGGAUAUGGUAUCAAAAAAAUAAUAAUAAAUAUGAGAAUUCAUUAAUGAAAGAAUUUCCAAAUAAUUUCUUUGUAAACAAUGCCAAACAGUCAUCAUCAUUUACAAAGAAAUUGUCAAUGAAAGACAAAGAAGCUCUGGUGCUUUACCAUAACCAAAUAUUGCGUAAGGCUUUUACAAGGUUUGGCAUUCUCCUUAGGAAAGCAAACUUUUCCCAAUCUGGGGACAAAUCCCUUACAGUGUGAGUUUGCUAAUUCUUGGAUGGGCACCAUUAAGGUUUCUAUCUCUUAGUCAUUCAUCAUGGCAUGGUAUCACCUUGGGAUUUGGGACUCUUUUAGAGGACUCAUACCUCACGUAGGGUAUACAUUGGCCGAUUCUUAAUCUAAAAUCUGCAGAAAUUGGGCAGUCAAGUAGUGAACUGCAGAAUAUCUGCCUCGGGCAAGGGGUGGGUGCAGCCAGCUCUACCGACUAAAUGAGAAUUUCUUUACUUGGGACUGUGUCUAAGGGUGUGGACUUUCUCCAGGCUUGCCUGACACUGGAGGACCUCUCUAUAGAAAGUCAGAUGAGGCUUGAUACAAAUCAAUCUGGCUAGGACAUGCUGCUACAGUCUACUCUAGUUCCAUCCUCUAUUUCAGCUUGUUGCCUGUGGCAUACCAACAUCUGCAUGUACUGCAUCAAGUGUAGGACUAUCUGUCACCUAGAUAUCAUCAAAUUUCUAGAAGCUACUUAGUUAAUCCCUGUCACUAUAAAUGUAUCAGCCUUACUAUACAGAUAACAAUGACAACUGUUAUCUGUAUAGUAACUGUCACUGUUACUAUACUGUUAGUGUUGUCACUGUUACAUACAGUGAAAACACUACAACACUACUGUUAUAUACAGUGACAACUGUUAAGCCUUCUGCCAUGUCAAGGCAGGCUCCUCACAGGAGGGACAGUUACUAUGUACAUGAUUGCAUUUUCCUAUAAAAACUGCUCAUGCAGCAGUUCUUAUAAGAAGAAAAUAAGUUAUGACAAACUAAUUUUGAAGACGUAGAUGUGGCAGAAUAUAUUCAUUCAUAAAUUUAUAAUGAUAUAUGCUCUAUAUGGUAGUCAAACUAGAACAAUGUUUCAUUUUUAAUAGUGCCUAUUACACAAUUUCCAUGCAAUACUAAUUAUCUUUGAAUCUAAUUUAUUGACUGC